AUUGAACGCUGGCGGCAGGCCUAACACAUGCAAGUCGAGCGAGCGGCGGACGGGUGAGUAAUGUCUGGGAAACUGCCUGAUGGAGGGGGAUAACUACUGGAAACGGUAGCUAAUACCGCAUACCAUCAGAUGUGCCCAGAUGGGAUUCGCUAGUAGGUGUGGUAACGGCUCACCUAGGCGAAGAUCCCUAGCUGGUCUGCGAGGAUGACCAGCCACACUGGAACUGAGACACGGUCCAGACUCCUACGGGAGGCAGAAGUGGGGAAUAUUGCACAAGGGGCGCAAGCCUGAUGCAGCCAUGCCGCGUGUGUGAAGAAGGCCUUCGGGUUUGAAAGCACUUUCAGCGGGGAGGCGUUACCCGCAGAAGAAGCACCGGCUAACUCCGCGCCAGCCGCCGCGGUAAUUC
rnacentral:rRNA from 1 species